AUUGAUUUCUCCCUUCUGACGAGCCGUGAUGUCAUUCAUUUGGUGUUACGGGGAGUCAGGACUGUUACUUUGAAAAAAUUAGAGUGUUUAAAGCAGGCAAUCGCUCGAAUACAUUAGCAUGGAAUAAUGAAAUAGGACGUUCGAACCUAUUUUGUUGGUUUCUAGGAUCGACGUAAUGAUUAAUAGGGAUAGUUGGGGGCAUUAGUAUUCAAUUGUCAGAGGUGAAAUUCUUGGAUUUAUUGAAGACUAACUACUGCGAAAGCAUUUGCCAAGGAUGUUUUCAUUAAUCAAGAACGAAAGUUAGGGGAUCGAAGACGAUCAGAUACCGUCGUAGUCUUAACCAUAAACUAUGCCGACUAGGGAUCGGAUGAUGUUAAUUUUUUAAUGACUCAUUCGGCGCCUUACG
rnacentral:rRNA from 1 species